rnacentral:rRNA from 1 species
UACGUAGGCAGCGAGCGUUGUUCGGAAUUACUGGGCGUAAAGAGUGUGUAGGCGGUGCUCCCAGUCUGUUGUGAAAUCUCCCGGCUUAACUGGGAGGGUGCAGCGGAAACUAGAGUGCUAGAGGGUGGGAGAGGUAAGCGGAAUUCCUGGUGUAGCGGUGAAAUGCGCAGAUAUCAGGAAGAACACCCGUGGCGAAGGCGGCUCUCUGGAACGCAACUGACGCUGAGACGCGAAAGCGUGGGGAGCAAACAGG